GAUGAACGCUGGCGGCGUGCCUAAUACAUGCAAGUCGAGCGAACAGAUAAGGAGCUUGCUCCUUUGACGUUAGCGGCGGACGGGUGAGUAACACGUGGGUAACCUACCUAUAAGACUGGGAUAACUUCGGGAAACCGGAGCUAAUACCGGAUAAUAUUUCGAACCGCAUGGUUCGAUAGUGAAAGAUGGUUUUGCUAUCACUUAUAGAUGGACCCGCGCCGUAUUAGCUAGUUGGUAAGGUAACGGCUUACCAAGGCGACGAUACGUAGCCGACCUGAGAGGGUGAUCGGCCGCACUGGAACUGAGACGCGGUCCAGACUCCUACGGGAGGCAGCAGUAGGGAAUCUGACGCAAUGGGCGAAAGCCUGACGGAGCAACGCCGCGUGAGUGAUGAAGGUCUUCGGAUCGUAAAACUCUGUUAUUAGGGAAGAACAUACGUGUAAGUAACUGUGCACGUCUUGACGGUACCUAAUCAGAAAGCCACGGCUAACUACGUG
rnacentral:rRNA from 1 species